rnacentral:lncRNA from 1 species
AUUAAAAAAAUUAAAAAAUCAAUAUUUUGUUAUACCUAGACGACUUUCGUGUAAGUUGUUUCAUAUUAGUUUUGCAAUUGAAAAUUAAAACUUAAAAAAUUAAUUUUUUUCUAGACGACUUACACGAAAGUUGUCCAUGAAUUUAUUCCGAGAUUCUGGUCAAACUUUGUUUAUCUUGGACGACUUCCAUAAUGAUAUCGGCUCUGAUACCAACUAUUGAUUCACAAUUUCAAGUUUAAUAUAUCGAACACAAACUCAAGAACUUGAUAACAAGUAUAACUCUCUUAUUAUCCCUUCAAGGAAAACUCACUCAAAAUUUUUAAUUUCUCAG